AUUGAACGCUGGCGGCAGGCCUAACACAUGCAAGUCGAGCGGAUGAAGGGAGCUUGCUCCUGUAUUCAGCGGCGGACGGGUGAGUAAUGCCUAGGAAUCUGCCUGGUAGUGGGGGAUAACGUCCGGAAACGGGCGCUAAUACCGCAUACGUCCUGAGGGAGAAAGGGGGGGAUCUUCGGACCUCACGCUAUCAGAUGAGCCUAGGUCGGAUUAGCGAGUUGGUUGGGUAAAGGCCUACCAAGGCGACGAUCCGUAACUGGUCUGAGAGGAUGAUCAGUCACACUGGAACUGAGACACGGUCCAGACUCCUACGGGAGGCAGCAGUGGGGAAUAUUGGACAAUGGGCGAAAGCCUGAUCCAGCCAUGCCGCGUGUGUGAAGAAGGUCUUCGGAUUGUAAAGCACUUUAAGUUGGGAGGAAGGGCAGUAAGUUAAUACAUUGCUGUUUUGACGUUACCAAAAGAAUAAGCACCGGCUAACUUCGUG
rnacentral:rRNA from 1 species